UACGUAGGUGGCAAGCGUUGUCCGGAAUUACUGGGCGUAAAGGGAGCGUAGGCGGCUAUUUAAGUGAGAUGUGAAAUACCCGGGCUUAACUUGGGAAUUGCAUUUCAUACUGGGUAGCUAGAGUGCAGGAGAGGAAAGUGGAAUUCCAAGUGUAGCGGUGAAAUGCGUAGAGAUUUGGAGGAACACCAGUGGCGAAGGCGACUUUCUGGACUGUAACUGACGCUGAGGCUCGAGAGCGUGGGGAGCAAACAGG
rnacentral:rRNA from 1 species